rnacentral:lncRNA from 1 species
CUGCCUCACUCAGCUUUUUAGAGUGCUGGAUUUAUAAGUGUCUAAAAUCAUGCCUGGCUAAAUCUUCUUUUUUUCAGAUUUUAUUUUUAUAUUAGUACCUGUUUGCAGUGCAUAACGAUUACAUAAUUCAUGGGCAGCUGGUACAUGUAAUUGACAGCCAUAAAUGGCAAGACGAAACUGAAUUAUCCUGACUUUAGC